CUGCAGCCCGAGUGGUGAUCGAUUUUAUUGAGCCUAAAGCGUCUGUAGCCGGACUAGUAAACCCUUGGGUAAAUUGGGCAGCUUAACUGUCCAAAUUCCGAGGGGACUGCUAGUCUUGGGACCGGGAGAGGUCAGAGGUACUCAAGGGGUAGGGGCUAAAUCCUGUAAUCCUUUGGGGACCACCAGUGGCGAAGGCGUCUGACUAGAACGGAUCCGACGGUAAGGGACGAAACCCUGGGGCGCGAACCGGAUUAGAUACCCGAGUAGUCC
rnacentral:rRNA from 1 species